rnacentral:lncRNA from 1 species
UUUUCCCUUCCCUUCCCCAUUUCCCUGACCUCAAAUAAAUCUCUAACCCCUUCCCUUCCUUUUUUUCCCCCAAAUCGGAAAUCCACCUCCACCUCCACCUCCACCUCCACCGAUCCACGACUCCACGACUCGACAGUGCUUCUAGUCUUCUUCGUCUUCUCAAAGGUGAGUUUGCUGUUAACCUUUGAAUUAGUUUUUUGCUUUGUGCUUUGUGCUUUUUAUUUUUAUUCGAAUCAGUUCCCUCAUUCUCUUUCAAUUACAGAGGAAUAGGAAGGUCUAACAGACUAACACAAACAGUAGAUGUAUAAUUUCUUUUGGUUGGAUUAUUUUUCAUUUUAUGUAUAAUUUCUUUUGGUUGGAUUAUUUUUCAUUUGAUGUAUAAUUUCAGAUAUUUGUUGAAAGCCUAGAUGCUAAAACUUCAAUUUCGAUUUUUUUAUUAUUGUUAUUUUUUGCUUUUUAUUUUUAUUUGAAUCAAUUCCCUCACUCUCUUUCAAUUACAGAGGAAUAGGAAGGUCUAACAGACUAACACAAACAGUAGAUGUAUAAUUUCAUUUGGUUGGAUUAUUUUUCAUUUGAUGUAUAAUUUCAGAUAUUUGUUGAAAGCCCAGAUGCUAAAACUUCAAUUUCGAUAUUGUUAUCCUUUAAAAACAUAAAAAUGUAAUGAAAUGAUA